rnacentral:rRNA from 1 species
UACAGAGGGUGCGAGCGUGUUCGGAAUUACUGGGCGUAAAGCGCGCGUAGGUGGUGUGUUAAGUCUGCCGGUCAAAUGCCGAGCUCAACCUCGUUGCACGCCGGGGAUACUGGCACGCUAGAGACAAGUAGAGGCAAGCGGAAUUCCGGGUGUAGCGGUGGAAUGCGCAGAUAUCAGGAGGAACACCGAUGGCGAAGGCAGGUCACUGGGCCGCAACUGACGCUGAGGAGCGAAAGCAUGGGGAGCGAACAGG